rnacentral:rRNA from 1 species
GACGAACGCUGGCGGCGUGCUUAACACAUGCCAGUCGAACGGAAAGGCCCUGCUUUUGUGGGGUGCUCGAGUGGCGAACGGGUGAGUAACACGUGAGUAACCUGCCCUUGACUUUGGGAUAACUUCAGGAAACUGUGGCUAAUACCGGAUAGGAGCUCCUGCUGCAUGGUGGGGGUUGGAAAGUUUCGGCGGUUGGGGAUGGACUCGCGGCUUAUGAGCUUGUUGGUGGGGUAGUGGCUUACCAAGGCUUUGACGGGUAGCCGGCCUGAGAGGGUGACCGGCCACAUUGGGACUGAGAUACGGCCCAGACUCCUACGGGAGGCAGCAGUGGGGAAUAUUGCACAAUGGGCGGAAGCCGUAUGCAGCAACGCCGCGUGCGGGAUGACGGCCUUCGGGUUGUAAACCGCUUUCGCCUGUGACGAAGCGUGAGUGACGGUAAUGGGUAAAGAAGCACCGGCUAACUACGUG